AUUGAACGCUGGCGGCAGGCCUAACACAUGCAAGUCGAGCGAGCGGCGGACGUGUGAGUAAUGUCUGGGGAUCUGCCUGAUAGAUGGGGAUCACUACUGGAAACGGUUGCUACUACCGCAUACCAUCGGAUGUACCCAUAUGGGAUUAGCUAGUAGGUGGGGUAAAGGCUCACCUAGGCGACGAUCCCUAGCUGGUCUGAGAGGAUGACCAGCCACACUGGAACUGAGACACGGCCCAGACUCCUACGGGAGGCAGCAGUGGGGAAUAUUGCACAAUGGGCGCAAGCCUGAUGCAGCCAUGCCGCGUGUGUGAAGAAGGCCUUAGGGUUGUAAAGUACUUUCAGCGGGGAGGCGUUACCAGCAGAAGAAGCACCGGCUAACUCCGUGCCAGCAGCCGCGGUAAUUC
rnacentral:rRNA from 1 species